rnacentral:rRNA from 1 species
CAGUCGCCGCGGGAAUACGUAGGGUGCGAGCGCUAAUCGGAAUUACUGGGCGUAAAGCGUGCGCAGGCGGUUUUGUAAGACAGGCGUGAAAUCCCCGGGCUCAACCUGGGAAUGGCGCUUGUGACUGCAAAGCUAGAGUGCGGCAGAGGGGGAUGGAAUUCCGCGUGUAGCAGUGAGAUGCGUAGAUAUGCGGAGGAACACCGAUGGCGAAGGCAAUCCCCUGGGCCUGCACUGACGCUCAUGCACGAAAGCGUGGGGAGCAAACAGGAUUAGAUACCCCCGUAGUCCCUGUCUCUUAUAC